UACGUAGGGACCAAGCGUUGUUCGGAUUUACUGGGCGUAAAGGGCGCGUAGGCGGCAAUUCAAGUCAUCUGUGAAAUCUCCGGGCUUAACCCGGAACGGUCAGGUGAUACUGUUUUGCUAGAGUGCGGAAGGGGCAAUCGGAAUUCUCGGUGUAGCGGUGAAAUGCGUAGAUAUCGAGAGGAACACCAAAGGUGAAGACGGGUUGCUGGGCCGACACUGACGCUGACAGCGCGAAAGCCAGGGGAGCAAACGGG
rnacentral:rRNA from 1 species